rnacentral:piRNA from 1 species
UCUCCCCUGCUGGGCUGUGAACAAGUGAGU